UACGAAGGGGGCUAGCGUUGCUCGGAAUCACUGGGCGUAAAGGGUGCGUAGGCGGGUUUUAAGUCAGGGGUGAAAUCCUGGAGCUCAACUCCAGAACUGCCUUUGAUACUGAAGAUCUUGAGUCCGGGAGAGGUGAGUGGGAACUGCGAGUGUAGAGGUGGAAAUUCGAUGAGAUAUUCGCAAGAACACCAGUGGCGAAGGCGGCUCACUGGCCCGGUACUGACGCUGAGGUGCGAAAGCGUGGGAGCGAACGAGG
rnacentral:rRNA from 1 species